AGUGAACGCUGGCGGUAGGCCUAACACGUGCAAGUCGAACGGCAGCACAGUAAGAGCUUGCUCUUACGGGUGGCGAGUGGCGGACGGGUGAGGAAUACAUCGGAAUCUACUUUUUCGUGGGGGAUAACGUAGGGAAACUUACGCUAAUACCGCAUACGACCUACGGGUGAAAGCAGGGGAUCUUCGGACCUUGCGCGAUUGGAUGAGCCGAUGUCGGAUUAGCUAGUUGGCGGGGUAAAGGCCCACCAAGGCGACGAUCCGUAGCUGGUCUGAGAGGAUGAUCAGCCACACUGGAACUGAGACACGGUCCAGACUCCUACGGGAGGCAGCAGUGGGGAAUAUUGGACAAUGGGCGCAAGCCUGAUCCAGCCAUACCGCGUGGGUGAAGAAGGCCUUCGGGUUGUAAAGCCCUUUUGUUGGGAAAGAAAAGCAGCAGGUUAAUACCCCGCUGUUCUGACGGUACCCAAAGAAUAAGCACCGGCUAACUUCGUG
rnacentral:rRNA from 1 species